UGGUGUCUUAUCAAACAGAAAAAAACCAGCCUCGACCCUUUCUUUGUUUAAAUAAAUAUGACAUAUAUUUUAUAGAAGGGGGAAAAAAUAAAACUAACUUUUUCCUUCAAACAAUCCAAUCACCAAAUGGGGAAAGAUAAGAAAGGAGGCAUGCACACCUGCCGUGUUGUUGUAUACAUGUCCGCGGGAUAUGUGUGUAUGCUUCACAGCUGCCUCACUUCUAUUCUAGUACCACUGUGAAAAAUCCAAAACAAAAACAUGACGGUCCUCUCAAAUGAAAAAAUGAUAAUGUAAUUGAGGUAUUCCUCCUGCUGCCCCCCGAUCUCUUUAGCAUAUACAUCAAAUCGUCGCCGCCAACAAUAUGCGAAAGGUCAGCUUUUCCAAAUAUUUUUCCUAGGAAAAAUGGACCGCCCAUUUUUUAAAUGUUGGCUGAAUGAAAACAAAAUGACCUGAUUUGACCUCUUUUCAACCAGGUCAAACACAUUUUCAAAUUCAAUUCCUUGGAGAGAAUCUAAAAGAAAAAUCAUGUAACAGCACAGAAGCCCGUUUUGUCGUAUCUUAACAUUGGACGAGAAUGUUAAAUACCCUAGAAAACUCUAUAAAGAUGGCCUCGUUUAAAAUCUCGUUAAAUUUGUUGUUGAUUUCGGCCUUUUUUUUCGGUUGAGAGAGGGGCUCAGAAAAACAUCUUUCUUCUUCUUCUUCUUCUUGGAUUACCAAAAGAAGAGGGGAAAAAAUGAAGAAGAAAAAUCUUUUCUUUCUUCUUUGUGUGUACAUGUUGAAACUCUAGUGGAGUGUGUAUAGUGACCACCUGGCGCCCCCCUCCCCCCUAUGUCCUUCUCUGCCCUCUAUUCUUUUCGUGUGCACCAAGAACUCCCCCCCAAAGAAGAAGAAGGUUUUGUGGAGGAUUUCCUGCACGUUACAAAGUGGGGCCCCCAUGAUAACCGAAAAACAUUCCAAGUUUUUAUAAUAUUUAAGUUUUACUAGAGUCUGAAUUGUGUGUGAUGAAAUCGAGUCACGUUUUUGAAACAAUGCCAUCUAGGGGAUUGAAUUACAGACGAGCGUGUGAAUGUGUCACCACGUGACUGCUUUUCUCGGGAGUGAAACACAUUUUGACGUAAUUGGAUAAAUGAACGUUGUCUGGUUUCAGACAUGCGGACAAGGAUUUUGAUAAAUUUGUGUAUGUACCCUUUGUUAUUAAAAACAUUUUUUACUCUGGUUUCUUUUAUGACGGCUACUAACACAAAAAGAGUGUGACUGAUCGUCAUCCCAUCCGACGGGGGGUUUUCAUUUGCGUCCCAAAUGAGACCAGCAGGCCGAAUCGCCAUCUUUGAUACAUUAAAUCAAGGUUUUUCAAGCCCCAAUAUAGUCCAAGACCUUCUUCUUCGUCGUUCAAUUAGACACUCGACGACUAAUAAUCCACGAUGGCUUCGUUCCCAGAUAUACGAAAGUUUUAGGUUCAAUGUCAAACCGCGAAUUUUUUAUUUUACCACACGAACGCAGCGUUAAGUGAAGCUGACUGGCGAACCAGCUCCAUGUCCUUGAUUUUUGAAUCGUUUUUCUUAUGCUUCUUUUAAAAAAGCUUUUUUUGUGUCAUUGUUUAGCAGCUGCGCACUUCUUCUGCCAGUUUUUUUCCCCUUGAGCUGUUGUUACGUGUAUUAUACACCUUUCUUCCCGCAGGGUUUCAAGGCAGAAGGUGACGUCACGAAAAUUAUUCCUUGAGCUUUUAAAUUCUACCGCUAGGUGGAAGCAUAAUUUGACGAUUUAUUCCAACAGUCGCCAUUUUAGCAUUCGUUGAUUUUCUGGUACCGACUGUAACACACGUCCACCAAA
rnacentral:lncRNA from 1 species